CCACCCCGCCCCCGCCGGCCCCACCCCUCCUCCUCGCGCGCCCGCCCGCCUCCAACUCCGGCAAACAAGACGCACCAUUCACAACUCCGCGGCCCACGCCGCGCAUGCGCCACCCGCCCGCUGGCGGAGCGGCCUGGCUGUGGCGCCCCGGGGCUCCUUCCGCAUCAGGGCCCUUUUCCCCCUGCUCGCCCGCGGCCACUCGGCGUGGAGCUGUCGUUGGGGGAUCCGCCUGGCCUUUAGCAGACGGGAGUAGCCAGCGCAGGCCUUUUCUACCGCCCUUCCUCGGUCAUCUGGAACUUCUGGGUUCCCCAGGUGCGCGGAGUAACCCCAGAUUGUCACUUGAACGCGAGGAAACCUAAGUCCUUGGGGACUUUUCGUCCCUAAACCGACCGGCAGGGGUGUAGGCUCUGCACGUUGAAGACUGAGGUGGAAACGGACCAAAGAAUCCAACCGAGUCAUGGUGGAAAGGUCGUGGCUUUUGGAGUCAGAUGGGUCUUAGAUGGGAUCCCACUCAGCUACACUACCUGCUGGCUGGGGCCUUAGAUAAGAAUUGGACCACUAAACCUCAGUUUCCUUAUUUCCAAAAUGCAGACACUCCUAGGUUUGCAGUGUUAGCGUGAGAACCUUUAUGUGGGUCUAGCACACAGUGGGAGCCCAAUAAAUUUAAGUUUCUAAAGAAGAACAAGCUGAGUUAAGAAUGUAACCGAUUGCCAGUCCAUAUACUUACUCAAUGUGCAAUCAGCUGCAAAAAAUAAGAUCCAUAAAUUCUAGGGAAGUUGUUUAGCCCAAACUGGAGAAAGUCUGACAUGGGAUUUAUGGCAGAGUUUGAUUCAAAGUUAGUCCUGUGGCCGGGCACUGUAGCUCAUACCCGUAAUCCCAGCCCUCUUUUUUUUUUUUUUUUUUUUUUUUUUUUAAACAGAGCCUCGCUCUGUCGCCCAGGCUGGAGUGCAAUGGCGCGAUCUCGGCUCACUGCAACCUCCGCCUCCUGGGUUCAAGUGAUUCUUCUGCCUCUGUCUCCCGAGUAUUUGGAAUUACAGGCACCCACCACCACGCC
rnacentral:lncRNA from 1 species